GAAAACCUUUGAUUUGUUAUGCUUUGUAUUUUCUCAACCAAUAUAUUACAUGCUACAAUGCUUGACAAAUUUCGGAGGUUGUCAACAGCAUGAAAGACCUAAUACAUAUCUGUGCACAACACAGAGUUGGGGUAAUAAGUAAUUUGCGUGUAGUUUUUAUGAUGAGGUUACCCUAUCGUGUUCUAUUUUCAAUUAAUCUAGUUGUAUGAAGUUGUUUUAAUUUGG
rnacentral:lncRNA from 1 species